rnacentral:ncRNA from 1 species
GGGCACAUGGUGGAUGCCUUGACAUCAAAAGGCGACGAAGGACGCAGCGUAGCGGCGAUACGCCUCGGGGAGAUGCGUAGCAAUCGACGAUCCGAGGAUUUCCGAAUGGGGAAACCUAAUUGAGUAAACCUCAAUUGCCCGCGAGCAAUCGUGGGAGCACACCCGCUGAAGUAAAACAUUCCAGUAAGCGGAGGAAUAUAGAACAAUCGUUAUUCCCUGAGUAUCGGCGAGAGAAAAGGGAAGAGCCUAAACCUCUUGUGCGGAGCACAAGGACUGAUAACCAAAAACUAACGACUAAUUAACUUUUGUUAAUAGUUGUAAGUCGUAUGUUAUUCGUUCUCGCGCUCUGCGCGAGGGGGGUCAUAAGGGAGAGACGCUCUCUUUUGACUUAUGACUUCUAACUGAUAACUUUUAACUUUUUGUUAUUAGUCAUUAGUUAUUUGUCAUGAGUUCGAAGAGGUGAAGAAGUUAUAAAUUCAUUGGUUAGCUGAAGAUGCCUGGAAAGGCGCGCCGCAGACGGUGAUAGCCCGGUAAGCGAAAAUUAGUGAACUUCUUAGUCUUUUUUCUUGAGUACUUCGAGGUCAAACAGCUUCGGAGGAAUUUGCGAGUACUAUCUCGUAAGGCUAAAUACUUUUGAUGAUCGAUAGUGAACUAGUACCGUGAGGGAAAGGUGAAAAGCAGGCCGGUGAGGCCGUUGAAAUAGAACCUGAAACCAUGUGCCUACAAGGAACUAAAGCUCUAAGUGUGCGUAGCACACAACUAAAGACUUGUGACUAAAAACUUACGACAAAUAACUUAUGUUGAUUGUCGUAAGUCAAAAGUCGUUUGUCGUUUGUUGCGCGCUACGCGCACGGAGUAAUAGUGUGCCUAUUGAAGAAUGAGCCAACGACUUUAGAUGUGCGGCAAGGGUAAGUCCUUGAACAGGACGCACCCGUAGGGAAACCGAGUGUUAAAAGCGCGUAUGUGUGCGUAGCACACAACUAAAGACUUGUGACUAAAAACUUACGACAAAUAACUUAUGUUGAUUGUCGUAAGCCAAAAGUCGUUUGUCGUUUGUUGUGCGCUACGCGCACCAGUCUCGCAUCUAAGACCCGAAGCCAGAUGAGCUUGCCUUGGCCAGGUUGAAGUCCCGCGAAAGCGGGGCGGAGGACCGAACUGGUGGGUUGUUCAACACCCUCGGAUGAGCUGAGGUAAGGAGUGAAAAGCUAAUCGAAUCUGGUAAUAGCUGGUUCUCUCCGAAAUAUAUUUUCGUAUAGCGCCGUUUCGUAGUCAUGGGGGUAGAGCACUGGAUGAUAUGUAAAGGCCGAAAGGCCGACACGUCAAUCAAACUCCGAAUACCAUGGCGCAAGAGCGGUAGUCAGAACGUGGGGGCUAAGCUCCAUGUUCGCAAGGGGAACAGCCCAGACCAUCAGCUAAGGUCCCUAAAUCUUGUCCUCUAUCUCACAUAUACCAUCAAUUUGGCGGAGCGAAUUUUAGACAGAUUCGCGACGCGAGAAGCGAAGCGUGCUUUAUGCACGCGAGCGACGAGUAACAAAGAAUAUGGCUAAAAUUAGCCCGCCCGAACGGGAAGCUAAAAAAUAAGCCACGUUCUUCGUUGCUCCUCCUAGAAGUGCGUCCAGCACAUCUUCGUCGUCGCGCCUCGAACGUGUUUAUUUUUUAGCUUCCAAAUUGACGCUAUAUGUGAGAUAGAGGACGUAACGCUAAGUGUUAAAGGUAGUCUUCUGCCUCAGACAGAUAGGAGGUUGGCUUAGAGGUAGCCAUCCUUUAAAGAGUGUGUAACAACUCACUAUUCGAUGGCAGAGGGCGCCGAAAAUGUACCGGGGCUAAGCGUAGUACCGAAGCUAUGGAUUCGCAGACUUCAUUGAGGAUUCGGUGACUGUCUGUUUUUAGGACCGGCACUAAAAUUUUUCCAGCGAAAAUUUUGUGCCUGCGCUCUCGGCGCGAUGACUCUCCGACUGCGGUUGGAGAGACCAAGCUCAUCGCGCCUGCGAGAGCUCCUAAAAACAGACAGUCACCUCAUUAGAUAAGAGGUUAGGAAAAUUGUAAAAAAUUUGGGGUGGUUCGGAGAUAAGCCCGAAGGCAAUUCGGCCAAAGCUGGAUCGUCUCAGCUUCCGGGCCUGUGGGACGCGAAAUGUAGCCGCGUCGCGCCUCAUCGAGCACAGUUGCUUGAUGCCACCCUUAAAAAUUUGUGUCAGGGCGUAGCGUAGCCGGGUAGCGCGCCCGUGGGAUAGGUUAGUUGCUGGACUUGUUUGCGGUAUAUGGCCAAACUCGAAGCAUCCAGAUGUGCGACCCUAUCGCAAUGGGAGGUCGGUGGUUCGAAUCCAUCCGCCCUGACCAAAUUUAACAGUUCUUUGUUCAAAAAUUUCGGCGGACAUGCACGGCUGGUCAGUGAUCCAGGUUCGUAUUCAUACCUGGGUUUGACGUCACCUGCGUGCUCCGCCGCUACUAAAAUCGCCGCGGGUAAUAAGCCCCCAAAGGCUGGAAGACUCACAGUAAAUAUGUGAGGUACAGGUUCGACCCCUGUCCUGCGGUGAUCAAUUUAUUCAGGCGAGCGAAAAACGUUCGCCCAUUGCCCAGUAGCAGUUUUUACAAAAAUGCUACUGGGAUCCUCAAUGAAGUCUGCGAGUGGUAGGAGAGCAUUCCGAUCCGCUGUGAAGGUCGAUCCGCGAGGGCGACUGGAGCGUUCGGAAGAGAAAAUGUUGGCAUGAGUAGCCACAAUCCCAAUGAGAAAUUGGAACCCCGAAAAUCCAAGGUUUCCGUGGCACUGGCAAUCAACCACGGGUUAGGCGGCCCUAAGGCAAUGGUGAAAACCGCAGCCGAUGGACAGCUGGUUAAUAUUCCAGCCCUUCCGCCUUUUUUCGAGACAGUGACGGGGAAUACAGGUAUGCGUGCAUUAUUGGUUUUGCAUCCUUUGCGCGAAGUCAAACGAGCGUCGAGGGAAGGCUUGGUUUUUAUCAGGUCAACGCAUAUGAAGAGUCCUCCAAGAAAAACUGUCGAGAGUUAAGAAGGCGGGACCCGUACCGUAAACCGACACUGGUGGAUAGGGCGAGAAGCCCAAGGGGAACGAGUGAUUUGCCUCUAAGGAACUCGGCAAAAAAGCGGCCGUAAGUUCGCAAUAUGGCCUGGCUUGUGCGUAGCACAAGCGACUGAUGACUACUAACUAAAAACUAAUGACAAAAUUGUCGUAAGUUAAUUGUUAACAGUUGUAAGUUGCUCGCGCUACGCGCGAGCCCGCAGCGAAAGUAUCUCUGGCGACUGUUUACCAAAAACACAGCUCCCUGCGAACUCGUAAGAGGAUGUAUAGGGGGUGACGCCUGACCGAUGCGAGAAGGUCAAACGUGGGGGUGGUGUGUGCAGCACACAACUUGAAACUUAAAACUUAUGACUGAUGGCUUUUAACUUUUUGUUAUUAAGUCAUUAGUUAUUAGUCACGAGUUAUUAGUUGCGCGCUGCGCGCAUUGCUCACCGCGCAAAGCCCUCGUCAAUGUCAGCCGUAACUAUAACGGUUCUAAGGUGAUUGCAUUGCCUUAGUAAAAUUUGGUCCCGACGCCCGCAAGGGUACGGGACUCCGACAUUCGCGUAAGCGAAUCGUUGGAGCUAUAUCGGUGGACACCCAAAGUGACUAGACAGCAUUUUGGACAAUACCGAGGGAAGUUUUGUGAGUUUCGUUAAGGUGUGCAUGGGUGGCGGAAUAGCAGACGCGUAGAUUAGCUCUCCUUUUAGAUAAGAGUUUGUGAAUCGUAAGUCACAAUCUAAAAGUAACUGAUCUAUUGCUGCAUAAUAAUGCAGCAGUGUAGGUGCAAAUCCUACCCCUCGCACCAAAUUUCGGAGUAAGAAAAAAUAUUCUUACUCCCCUUAACGAAAUUCGCAAAACCCCGUAGAGACUACACGCCGAACUCCGAGUGUUUUCGGAGAAGAUAUAGUCCGACCUCUAUGGAGACAUAGAGAGGCGAGCAGAAAUGUCUCGUCCGGUUAUUAAUCACUAGUGGCUAAACCCUAGUGGCUAGUGGCUAGCAACAAUGUGAGCGCAAUUCCUUUUCGGGUAAGGAGAACUUGCCCCUUUCGAGAGCGAUCUCGAUCGAAGCCGCCUCGAUUAUUAUGUUGAGGUAGGCCUCGCCCAGAAAUGGGCGGGAAGUUGGCUUAUAACGGUGGACUCCAUAUGAUAAAAUAGUUCUAUGGACAAUACCGUGGGAAGUCUUCCGAUUUUGAAUCGGAAUGACCCCGUAACGACUGAGGCCAAAAGCCGAAAUAGCUUAAAUUCAAAAAGCUAUUACACGCCAACCUCUUUAGGAAAAGAAAGUCGCAAUAUUCCGGAAUAUAUUUCCGGUUAUGUCGAUGGUGAAGGAUGUUUUACUGUAACUUUUAACCAGAAGGCAAAAGCUUUACUUGGUUGGGAGUUGCGACCAAGUUUCUCGGUGAGCCAAAAUGAAGACAGGCGUCAAGUUUUGGAUAUCAUUAAAGAAUAUUUUGGUUGCGGGUAUAUUCGUCGUGAUUAUCACGAUAAAACAGUAAAAUUCGAAAUUCGAGAUCAUAAUGAUCUCGUGAAUAAAGUUAUUCCUCACUUCGAGCGGUUUCCACUGCUUUCGGCGAAAGAUAAGGAUUUUCGACUGUUCAAGCAAAUUUGCAAAAUGAUUGAUGAGGAAAAACAUCUUUUAAAAGAUGGAUAUUCUCAAAUUCUUGAUCUUGCAUAUCAAAUGAAUGGUUCGGGAAAGCGUCGUCGAAAGAAAGAAGAAAUCGUCAACUCUCUUGGACUAAAGAAGAUGAUAUAGUCUGAUCCUUAUCGUAAGAUAAGAAAAACAAAAAGAAGUUCCGAAGCGCACGAAAGGCGUAACGACUGGAGAACUGUCUCAGAGGCAAGCUCGGCGAAAAUG